rnacentral:rRNA from 1 species
CAGCAGCCACGGGAAUACGUAGGGUGCAAGCGUUAAUCGGAAUUACUGGGCGUAAAGCGUGCGCAGGCGGUUAUAUAAGACAGAUGUGAAAUCCCCGGGCUCAACCUGGGAACUGCAUUUGUGACUGUAUAGCUAGAGUACGGCAGAGGGGGAUGGAAUUCCGCGUGUAGCAGUGAAAUGCGUAGAUAUGCGGAGGAACACCGAUGGCGAAGGCAAUCCCCUGGGCCUGUACUGACGCUCAUGCACGAAAGCGUGGGGAGCAAACAGGAUUAGAGACCCCUGUAGUCCCUGUCUCUUAUAC